CACCGUGAGGUGGACUCUGAAGGAAACUGGAGGUAAAUUCUCAGAAACUAUAUAUAAGGCUGCAGUGGGACGGACGAGUCUGCAUAUCAAGAUAAAGUCCACUACUGCCUGAAUCCCAUACAGUAAAUAUAGCAGUUACAUGAGAAGAAGGUUAU
rnacentral:ncRNA from 1 species